rnacentral:rRNA from 1 species
AGGACGAACGCUGGCGGCGUGCUUAACACAUGCAAGUCGAGCGGUAAGGCCCUUUCGGGGGUACACGAGCGGCGAACGGGUGAGUAACACGUGAGCAAUCUGCCCUUCACUCUGGGAUAACCCUCGGAAACGAGAGCUAAUACCGGAUAUGACCACUUCACGCAUGUGAUGGUGGUGGAAAGUUAUGGCGGUGGAGGAUGAGCUCGCGGCCUAUCAGCUUGUUGGUGGGUAAUGGCCCACAAGGCAACGACGGGUA